rnacentral:rRNA from 1 species
AUGGCUCAGGAUGAACGCUAGCGGCAGGCUUAACACAUGCAAGUCGAGGGGCAUCGGGAGUAGCAAUACUUGCCGGCGACCGGCGCAAGGGUGCGUAACGCGUGAGCAACAUGCCCGUAUCAGGGGGGAUAAUCCAUGGAAACGUGGUCUAAUACCCCAUAGUAAUUAUGUAAGGCAUCUUAUAUAAUUUAAAGCUUUGGUGGAUACGGAUUGGCUCGCGUGACAUUAGCUAGAUGGUAAGGUAACGGCUUACCAUGGCUACGAUGUCUAGGGGUUCUGAGAGGAAGGUCCCCCCACACUGGAACUGAGACACGGUCCAGACUCCUACGGGAGGCAGCAGUGAGGAAUAUUGGACAAUGGAUGGAAAUCUGAUCCAGCCAUGCCGCGUGCAGGAAAGACGGCCCUAUGGGUUGUAAACUGUCUUUUGUAUGGGAGCAAUAAGGGCUACGUGUAGUCCGAUGAGAGUACCAUACGAAUAAGCACCGGCUAACUCCGUGCCAGCCGCAGC